rnacentral:tRNA from 1 species
GCGGGGGUAGCCAAGCCCGGUUAAAACUAGAAACAGAUUGUAUUUAGUAUCAAUCUGUUUCAGCCGACCAAAGGCGCAGGCUUCAGGAGCCUGUCUCCUAGCGAGUUCGCCGGUUCAAAUCCGGCCCCCCGCA